AUAUCUGUCUCUGGAACAAUAGGUACCUGUAUUCUGCACGGACUGCUGGGCAGCACUAGCACUCUGGAGAAGGUCUGCCGCUGUCUGCACUUUCCUGGUUCUAUGCAGGCAGAUGAGUGUCACAGCUGUAACUGAGGCACAGAGCAGUACACACAGUGGAGCCGAUUUCCGCGAUGGCGAGAGGGGGCACCGGAGGUGACAACAAUAACAAGACUGUCCUUCGGACAAGUUUUAGAUUCUCAGGAUGAUGGAGUGAGUGAUGGAAUAGGUUGCCAACUGUAGUUACUCCACUCAGCACAGAAUGGCUGCGGGGAAAUAUAAUCAGACAUGCCCAAAGAAGUCUGCUUAGGGUGAAACAAAUACCUUUGAGGUUUAAAUCAGAAAGGAAGGAGAGACUGUUUCUACAGGUGUCAUACAAAAAUCAAUACUGAGCCAAGGAUUAUUGGAUCCCAUAGAACCACGGAGACUUGGUAGUGAAAUUCUUCCAAAGGCAGAUGGUGUUCCUAGGUUUGGAAAUAUAAAUCCCAUGGGAAGUCAGCUGAAGACCAUUUUAUGCAUCACUCAUCCUGUUAGAGCCCUGUGCUGUUCUGUCUCUCUAUAAGACUGGCUGAAACCACCACGGUUGUUUACAAUUUAUGCUCUAACUUUGGAUCACCUAGUUAAUACUCUAACUCCGAUUAUUACCAAAGACAAUGUUCUAUAAAAGAUAUUGUCUAUUAGAAGGAUGCUUCUGCAUUAUUAAUAAAAUCACAGGGAAAAUGCAACAUUUUGGAUGUCACAUCUGAUAAGUUGGCAGUUAAAGAACAGAAACAGCAAUAAGACUGCGUGGCUACAUUUUCCCAGUGCCACCAACUGGGAUUUAAGCUGACUAACAUUUUGAAAGCCCAGCCCAUUUCAUUCACAGCAGGAUGGCAGUGGGUGACUGAUCGUACCCGCCAGCUGGCUAAUGUCAUAAUUAACAAAGUUGCUACUACAUCUGCAAAGUUUAAUCGAAAAAUUUGCCAGUGAUAUGAUGGCCUUGUCACAGAGAUCACAAGGGACACGGAGUUGACUUUUGCUCAAGGUGGAACGACAGAGCUGUGUAGGCAAGAUGAGAAAUUGCGAACUUGUUCGGCCAAAGGAGGCUAAUAAUGAAGGGGCCGGGAAGGAGGCCAGUGCUACCAGGGUUAUCUCACAACCUCAGAUGCUGGAUAAGUCGACGGAGGCAGAAUCGCUUUGGGAUGACAUUCAGAAAGCCUGGAGUGAUUACUUGCAAGAGAAAAGCCUACCUAUUCUUUCCAAGGUGCAGGAAUAUUCCCCUGACCUGCUCAUCCAGUGGUCCAGUAAUGAAUUACUGGAGACCUGCCUUAGACAAAGAAUGCACUCGGAGCCCCAACACACCUAAAGCCAUGCUUUGAAGGAUCUGCCAAGCUCACUUUUAAUCAUGAGAAAGAAAUUACCCACACGGAGUCAGCAGAAAAUGAGAAAGUAGAGCUCGUGCUGUGAAUAAUUCCAGCAAGUGCCAAGGGGCUAGUUGAGGAAUGGCUUCAUGAGAACAUGCUCUAGGGGAACUAUUAAUAGCCCACCAGUCGGGUAGGCAGCAUUCAAUCCUUCUAUGCCUUCUUUCGCCACCUGUUGAGGUCUUUCUUCUGAAACAAAGAAGAAAUAGACAAAUCAGACUUGCCCUCUUGGAAAUGUGGUCCAGAUUUCUCUACUCCCAAGCUCCAAAAAAGGUAUACAUUGGAUGGGCUAGAUCAACUCCUCCUGAGAGCCAUAAAUCCGCCAAGAGUUGUUUUCCAUGUAAGGGUGUGGUACAAUGGGGAACACCUGAUGUUGGAGGAAAGCAGGAGGACUUUAGAGUGGAGUUGCAUUCUAAUCUCUCUGCCGCUUCAACUAUGUGACCUGGGGCAAAUGAUAUAAACUCUAUGAGCCUCUUUCCUUAUCUUUAAAAUGAAGAGAAGUAAUACCUACCUUGUAGGGCUGUUGUGAGGAUUAAAUGAAGUAAUGCAUACAGUGCCUAACAAAGUAUUUAACAUCAUAUUUUUUAAAAGCUCAUGAAAUAUUAGUUUUUCUUCCUUCCCCUCUUUCUAUUUUCUCUCCUGUUCCCUUUUCUCUCCCUCCUCUGCCCUCUCCUUCCUUCAGAUGUUAGUCUAAAACAGCACCUUGGAUCUAAGCAGCACCUUUGAGAAAGAAAAGACUGCUUCAAGAAUGUCUAGUUGCACCUCCUUUCCGUAUGUGGCCUAAAUGCCUAGGUUGGAUCAAUAGUUUAAUUUUUUUAUUGAACUGUUUAAUAUUGACUAUGGACUUACAUUCACUUUUACUGUUUUCUGUAUAUUUACUUUUGCUUGAAGUGUUUUAAUAUUGACUAUUUACCUCUGCUCAUUUUUAUUGAUUUUCUGUAUUUUUUCAAUGAAAAUUAU
rnacentral:sRNA from 1 species